GUCCUAGCUGUAAACGGUGCACGUUUGCUGUAAGAGGAAUCGACCCCUUUUGUGGCGAAGCUAACGCGCUAAACGUGCCGCCUGGGGAGUACGGUCGCAAGAUUAAAACUCAAAGAAAUUGACGGGGGCCUGCACAAGCGGUGGAGUAUGUGGCUUAAUUCGAUGCAACGCGAAGAACCUUACCUGGCCUUGACAUGCACGUAGUAGGAGCCUGAAAGGGUAACGAUGCCGCAAGGCAAGCGUGCACAGGUGCUGCAUGGCUGUCGU
rnacentral:rRNA from 1 species